UACGUAGGGGGCAAGCGUUGUCCGGAUUUAUUGGGCGUAAAGAGCGUGUAGGCGGUCAGGUAGGUCAGCUGUGAAAACUCGAGGCUCAACCUCGAGACGCCGGUUGAAACCAUCUGACUAGAGUCCGGAAGAGGAGAGUGGAAUUCCUGGUGUAGCGGCGAAAUGCGCAGAUAUCAGGAAGAACACCGGUGGCGAAGGCGGUCUGCUGGGCAGUUGCUGACACUGAGGCGCGACAGCGUGGGGAGCAAACAGG
rnacentral:rRNA from 1 species